AGGCCGCCUUGGUAGGCAGGGAUCCUGCCCCUUGAGUUUGAUUUGUGUCGUUGCUGGGAACGUGGGGAGUCAGGUUCUCCAUACCCUGGCCUCCUGUCUGAGUUGCCACCAAGUACCUAGGGGUGGUUGCCAGAGCACCUGCUGGAGGGGACCUCUUCCUGCCUGCUGCAAGGGGCAGCUUCCAACGCUGAACACUCGGGGAACCAUGAGGCGGUCUCAGGAGCAGCCCCCGCAGGGCAUGGACGUCUUGUCAGAGCCACCAUUUCCACAGGGCAUCGUCACACCCUGACGCCACCUGGGCAGUGGGGUGACCACCUCCAUCGCCUGACAAAACAGGCCCUCAGGUCAAGAAGCCGUGCUCAGCCUCCUGUAGCCCAGAACCCUCAGAAGGAAGGCAGGUCCUGUCGUUCCAUCAUGGCUUUCAGGACGGACAGACGUGUUGUCCCCGCCACCCAUUCCAUCCUUGCCUGGCUGCCACCUCUCACCUCCAAGCUUCAGCCACGAGGGCCUUACUCCUGUUGAGGCCAGAGUCCUUUUUUCCCCUGUUCAUCCUGGAUCUCAGGCCAAGGACCACAUCCUCAAAGACACCUUGAGUGCCACCGUCUCGGCCCACCUGGGAGCUCCAGAGAGAGAUGCCCGCCGUGUCGGUGGCCCUGGCUCAGCAGGUAGACCAUGCUCAGCAGGCGAAUGAAGCAGAGGAGCCCAGAACUGAAUCGCUGUCCUCCCAGCCCUCAGCCACCAGGU
rnacentral:lncRNA from 1 species